AUUCCAGCUCCAAUAGCGUAUAUUUAAGUUGCUGCAGUUAAAAAGCUCGUAGUUGGAUUUCGGGCGGUUGACGACGGUCCGCCUCUGGUGUGCACUGCCGUUCUUCCGCCUUUCUGUCGGGGACGUGCUCCUAGGCUUCAUUGUCUGGGACACGGGUUCGACGUGGUUACUUUGAGUAAAUUAGAGUGUUCAAAGCAGGCAUCGCCUUGAAUAUAUUAGCAUGGAAUAGCACGAUAGGACUCUGGCCUAUUUUGCUGGUCUGUAGGACCGGAGUAAUGAUUAAGAGGGACAGUCGGGGGCAUUCGUAUUUCAUUGUCAGAGGUGAAAUUCUUGGAUUUAUGAAAGACGAACUUCUGCGAAAGCAUUUGCCAAGGAUGUUUUCAUCG
rnacentral:rRNA from 1 species